rnacentral:rRNA from 1 species
UACGUAGGGGGCAAGCGUUGUCCGGAAUCAUUGGGCGUAAAGAGCGUGUAGGCGGCUCGGUAAGUCUGCUGUGAAAGUCCAGGGCUCAACCCUGGGAUGCCGGUGGAUACUGUCGAGCUCGAGUCCGGAAGAGGCGAGUGGAAUUCCUGGUGUAGCGGUGAAAUGCGCAGAUAUCAGGAGGAACACCAGUGGCGAAGGCAGCUCGCUGGGACGUGACUGACGCUGAGACGCGAAAGCGUGGGGAGCGAACAGG